GAUAAUUCUCAAACUUUCCUUGUUUUGUUUUCUACAUUGAGUUCAGCAGGUUUCAGGACAGCAGAGAUGAUUCAUAAUGUGGUUACCAUUUAUUUCAUCCAGAGAUUCAUCUGACCAGGUGGAUUCUCUCUACAACCUUCACCCCUCCCACAUCUGCAGCCACACCCCCUGUCUCAGACCCCCUCCAGCUUGUGUUCAGUUUGAUCCACCACCUGGUGGUGUGCUGUCCAUACUGCAUCUCCACUGUCCUCAUGGUGUCUUUAUACCGAAACAGGGCCACAGGAAAUGACCUGCCCGUCUCCAUGGUGAUGACCCUACCCACCCAGUCUGAGGAGGGAUUGGAUGACAACUGUGAUGAUUUCAUCACUGCUGUCACCACAGAGCAUCACUUCUGAGCUGAUCCAGUGUGUUCUUUUUCUUAAUGAAGCUAAAAUGUUUGAUUCAUCUUCAAAUAAACCUCAGAUUUCCUUCAGAGAUCACAAACAGCAGAGGACCCAGAACACUUCCCUGUGGAACACCUCAUAUUCUAGUUUGACUUGUAGAUGAUGUUAAACUCAGGAUCUCAGACGACAGUUUAAACUCUUCUAAUCUUAUUCUGUAAGCAGCUGUGUGAGAGCAGUUUUUAGAACAAACUCUGUCAUGUUUAGUGAAGCCUGAUCACUCAGAGAAAGGCGGACUGGAAAAAUGCAUUGUACAAAGAUGUUGACAUGUUUUUGUUCCAAAUAAAAGCUGAUAGUUGUUCAGUUUCUGGUU